rnacentral:rRNA from 1 species
GAUGAACGCUGGCGGCGUGCCUAAUACAUGCAAGUCGAGCGAACAGAUGAGGAGCUUGCUCCUCUGACGUUAGCGGCGGACGGGUGAGUAACACGUGGAUAACCUACCUAUAAGACUGGGAUAACUUCGGGAAACCGGAGCUAAUACCGGAUAAUAUAUUGAACCGCAUGGUUCAAUAGUGAAAGACGGUUUUGCUGUCACUUAUAGAUGGAUCCGCGCCGCAUUAGCUAGUUGGUAAGGUAACGGCUUACCAAGGCAACGAUGCGUAGCCGACCUGAGAGGGGGAUCGGCCACACCGGAACUGAGAAACGGUCCAGACCCCUACGGGAGGCAGCAGUAGGGAAUCUUCCGCAAUGGGCGAAAGCCUGACGGAGCAACGCCGCGUGGGUGAUGAAGGUUUUCGGAUCGUAAAACUCUGUUAUUAGGGAAGAACAAAUGUGUAAGUAACUAUGCCCGUCUUGACGGUACCUAAUCAAAAAGCCCCGGCUAACUACGU